rnacentral:rRNA from 1 species
AGUGAACGCUGGCGGUAGGCCUAACACAUUCAAGUCGAACGGCAGCACAGGAGAGCUUGCUCUCUGGGUGGCGAGUGGCGGACGGGUGAGGAAUAUAUCGGAAUCUACUCUGUCGUGGGGGAUAACGUAGGGAAACUUACGCUAAUACCGCAUACGACCUACGGGUGAAAGCAGGGGAUCUUCGGACCUUGCGCGAUUGAAUGAGCCGAUGUCGGAUUAGCUAGUUGGCGGGGUAAAGGCCCACCAAGGCGACGAACCGUAGCGGGUCUGAGAGGAUGAUCAGCCACACUGGAACGGGGACACGGUCCAGACUCCUACGGGAGGCAGCAGUGGGGAAUAUUGGACAAUGGGCGCAAGCCUGAUCCAGCCAUACCGCGUGGGUGAAGAAGGCCUUCGGGUUGUAAAGCCCUUUUGUUGGGAAAGAAAUCCAGCUGGCUAAUACCCGGUUGGGAUGACGGUACCCAAAGAAUAAGCACCGGCUAACUUCGUGCCAGCCGCCGCGGUAA